UCUGUUAAAAACAAUUUUGCAACACGCCAGCAACUCCAAAUCUCGACAACAGCAAGACAACAACAGAAACAGCACAAUCCACUUCCAAAACCCAGCAACCCGAACCUGCAACCCGGCAAACCCGUCGACAACCAACGGUAAAGUUCUAGCUGUUUCCAUUUUUCCCUCCGUACAGCCAAUAAUGGCUAAGAAUUUCAUCAACUUUUCCCUUUCUCAGAUUAUGUUCUUCCAUUUUUGAUUAAAAAAACAACGGAUACAAAAUAAUUCAGAUUUGAAAUUCAAUAUUUCAAAUCCGAAAAUCCUAUUUUCCCCCCUAAAUCUUCCCUAUAAAUAGGUAGUGAAGGCUAGAGGUGAAGGGGGAGGGGGCUUGGGGAAAAACUUGAGGGUACGGGAGCUGCACCUCUAACCCUACGUAACCAAGUUAUCUUCGAAAUAGUUCGAAAAAAAGGAAUUCAUCAACAUCGUCUGAAUUCGCAAAUUGAAACUUUGGUGGAAGUCGUUCCAUCGUCGACUCAUUGUUCCAGUUUCGCUGCCCCGAAAAAGUGGGAAUCCCCAUAUCGUUGCAUUUGCCCACAUUAUCUCGAAUCAACUCAAGACCAAAUCCCAAAAAGUGGACCAAGAGACGAGAAACAAGGCUGUAUACAUGUGUAUACAACAGAUAUACAGUAUAAAACGAGCAAGUGAAGUAGGCAUGCAGUUGGAGGACCGAAGUUAUGUAUACAUGACUGAAAUACAGUCAUACAUACGUUGGAUGUACAAGAAAAACGUGGAGAAAACCGGGCCGGCGUACGGCUGGAUAUACAAUGCAGGAAAAUGGACUGAAAUCCAUAAUUCUAAGCCCAAAAAUGGGCAGCUUUGUUGAUGGGCUGACUAAGGGCCCAAUUCUAAUUGUUGUAUUAUUUGUAUAGUUUAUAAUUCAUAUUUGUUUAUGUAUACUAACGUUUUAAUCAAUUAACCUAGAUAAAUUCCCUAAA